UACGUAGGGGGCAAGCGUUGUCCGGAAUCAUUGGGCGUAAAGAGCGUGUAGGCGGCCCGAUAAGUCCGCUGUGAAAGUCCAGGGCUCAACCCUGGAAUGCCGGUGGAUACUGUCGGGCUCGAGUUCGGAAGAGGUGAGUGGAAUUCCGUGGUGUAGCGGUGAAAUGCGCAGAUAUCAGGAGGAACACCAGUGGCGAAGGCGGCUCACUGGCCCGGUACUGACGCUGAGGUGCGAAAGCGUGGGGAGCAAACAGG
rnacentral:rRNA from 1 species